rnacentral:rRNA from 1 species
AAUCAUUCGCAAUGGACGAAAGUCUGACGGUGCGACGCCGCGUGGAGGAUGACGGCCCUAGGGUUGUAAACUCCUGUCAUCAGGGAGUAAGGCUUUGUACGUUAAUAGCGUUCAUUGUUGAUAGUACCUGAAGAGGAAGAGACGGCUAACUCUGUGCCAGCAGCCGCGGUAAUACAGAGGUCUCAAGCGUUGUUCGGAUUUACUGGGCGUAAAGCGUGCGUAGGCGGCGAGGUAAGUCAGAUGUGAAAGCUCAGGGCUCAACCCUGAAAUUACAUCCGAUACUGCCUUGCUAGAGUAAUGGAGGGGAGUCUGGAAUUCAUGGUGUAGCAGUGAAAUGCGUAGAUAUCAUGAGGAACACUAGUGGCGAAGGCGAGACUCUGGACAUUUACUGACGCUCAGGCACGAAGGCUAGGGUAGCGAAGCGGAUUAGAUACCCGCGUAGUCCUAGCAGUA